AAAAAAAAAAAAAACUAAAAAUUUCAUCUAUCUAUACUAAAUAUGAAAUUUUAAUAAAAAUCCUAUAAAUGGAAUUAUCAAAUUUAAUUAUGAAAUAAAAUGAAAAGAAAAAAAAAGAUAAUGGUAAUAGAGAAUGGAUGAGAAAGAAAGUUGUGUCUUGAGGUCUUGAACUUUUAAGUUACUAAGUAUAUAUAUAUAUAUGUAAGCCUAAAUAAUUAUGAUUUGUUAAUGUGAUGCGUUAAAAUUUAUUUAAUUAAGAGUUUGAAUUGUGACAUGGGACAAGUUAAGAUUGUGACAACAAUUGGACUUAAAUAUUAAAAAUGAAAAAAUUUGGGCUGGACCAGGUUUGCAGCAUCAGUCUAGUUGUUUGGGUGGGUG
rnacentral:misc_RNA from 1 species